UACGAAGGGGGCUAGCGUUGCUCGGAAUCACUGGGCGUAAAGGGUGCGUAGGCGGGUCUUUUAAGUCAGGGGUGAAAUCCUGGAGCUCAACUCCAGAACUGCCUUUGAUACUGAAGAUCUUGAGUUCGGGAGAGGUGAGUGGAACUGCGAGUGUAGAGGUGAAAUUCGUAGAUAUUCGCAAGAACACCAGUGGCGAAGGCAGCCCCUGGGCUAACACUGACGCUC
rnacentral:rRNA from 1 species